AAUUUCCGACUUGAACUCAAGCGUGAAUACCCGCUGAACUUAAGCAUAUCAGUAAGCGGAGGAAAAGAAACUAACAAGGAUUCCCUUA
rnacentral:rRNA from 2 species